rnacentral:rRNA from 1 species
UACAGAGGGGGCAAGCGUUGUUCGGAAUUACUGGGCGUAAAGGGCGCGUAGGCGGCCUUCUAAGUCGAACGUGAAAUCCCCGGGCUCAACCCGGGAACUGCGUCCGAUACUGGAAGGCUUGAAUCCGGGAGAGGGAUGUGGAAUUCCUGGUGUAGCGGUGGAAUGCGCAGAUAUCAGGAGGAACACCGAUGGCGAAGGCAGCUCGCUGGGACGGUACUGACGCUAAGACGCGAAAGCGUGGGGAGCGAACAGG